GAUGAACGCUGGCGGCGUGCCUAAUACAUGCAAGUCGAGCGAACGGACGAGAAGCUUGCUUCUCUGAUGUUAGCGGCGGACGGGUGAGUAACACGGGGAUAACCUACCUAUAAGACGGGGAUAACUUCGGGAAACCGGAGCUAAUACCGGAUAAUAUUUUGAACCGCAUGGUUCAAAAGUGAAAGACGGUCUUACUGUCACUAAUAGAUGGAUCCGCGCUGCAUUAGCUAGUUGGUAAGGUAACGGCUUACCAAGGCAACGAUGCAUAGCCGACCUGGGAGGGUGAUCGGCCACCCUGGAACUGGGCCACGGUCCAGCCUCCUACGGGAGGCAGCAGUAGGGAAUCUUCCGCAAUGGGCGAAAGCCUGACGGAGCAACGCCGCGUGAGUGAUGAAGGUCUUCGGAUCGUAAAACUCUGUUAUUAGGGAAAAACAUAUGUGUAAGUGACUGUGCACAUCUUGACGGUACCUAAUCAGAAAGCCACGGCUAACUACGUG
rnacentral:rRNA from 1 species